rnacentral:siRNA from 1 species
AGUGAUUGGGCUAGACCUUAGUGA